UUGAUCAUGGCUCAGAAUCAACGCUGGCGGCGUGCCUAACACAUGCAAGUCGAACGCGAAAGUGGAGCAAUCCAUGAGUAGAGUGGCAAACGGGUGAGUAACGCGUGGGUGACCUGCCUUCGAGCGGGGGAUAACGUUUCGAAAGGAACGCUAAUACCGCAUGACAUCCUGCCUUUGAAGAGGUGGAGAUCAAAGCUGGGGAUCGCAAGACCUAGCACUUGAAGAGGGGCCCGCGUCUGAUUAGCUAGUUGGUGAGGUAACGGCUCACCAAGGCGACGAUCAGUAUCCGGCCUGAGAGGGCGGACGGACACACUGGGACUGAGACACGGCCCAGACUCCUACGGGAGGCAGCAGUGGGGAAUUGUUCGCAAUGGGCGCAAGCCUGACGACGCAACGCCGCGUGGAGGAUGAAGACCUUCGGGUCGUAAACUCCUUUCGAUCGAGACGAAAGACUUCCGGGUGAACAAUCCGGGAGAGUGACGGUACCGAGAGAAGAAGCCACCGGCUAACUCCGUGCCAGACAGCCGCAGGUAAUACGGNGAGGGGCACAGCGUUGUACGGAAUUCACUGGGCCGUUAAGGGGCUCGUAGCGCGGGACCAACUAAGUCAAGACGUGAAAUCCUCGGUUAACGGGGAAACUGAGUCUGAUACUGGAUGCUUGAAGGUUGGA
rnacentral:rRNA from 1 species